rnacentral:misc_RNA from 1 species
AAGUCGUAACAAGGUUUCCGUAGGUGAACCUGCGGAAGGAUCAUUCUUGUAUACCAGGUCGAGCGUAAGCUUGGCCUAACCAUGUGUGAAUCAGUGUUCUUUUUCCCGGCGGGAUCUUUGGUGUUGACUCUGGGCUUUGCCUGGAAGAGCCUUAGUGACGGCUGGGGUAUUGCCUCGCAAGAGGUCAACAUGUUAAUAGCAGGGAACUCAAAAAGUAACAAUUACAACUUUAAACGAUGGAUCUCUUGGCUCUCA